UCAUAUGGUUUAAACUCUUUUUCUGUUUUUUCACUCAGUGAAAGCAUGAACAUUGGAAUAAAAUGGUCCUCAGCUGAACAAUAGCCAGUUCUCUUAUUAAUGUGUAACCUAAGACUGCUUAUGUGAUGCACCCAGGAAUGGAGAGGACAAAGCGGCAGGCUGGAAGCUGUGAACUGGAUCGACAUCAAGGACUCCUCACUAAGACCAACUAGUCAGCAGCAAAGAAGAGACAACAGGUGAACUCCACAUUCAAGAGUGACUGCCAAAGUAGAUUUAAAGAAGCAAGAAGAGGAGUGUUCUGUGGAGGAAAGCUUUGAGACACAUUAGGCUUCCUAAUUGCUCCUGGAGGUCAGAAGUCAUGGCUUUUUGAAGAAAGUCUGUUCAUAUAUCUGGCUCAGUUAUUCUUCAGUAUA